rnacentral:rRNA from 1 species
CGUAGCUAACGCGUUGAGUGUUCCGCCUGGGGAGUACGCACGCAAGUGUGAAACUCAAAGGAAUUGACGGGGGCCCGCACAAGCGGUGGAGUAUGUGGUUUAAUUCGAUGCAACGCGAAGAACCUUACCAGGGUUUUGACAUCCUGCGAAUCCCUUAGAAAUUUGGGAGUGCCUUCGGGAGCGCAGAGACAGGUGGUGCAUGGCUGUCGUCAGCUCGUGUCGUGAGAUGUUGGGUUAAGUCCCGCAACGAGCGCAACCCACGUCUUUAGUUGCCAGCAUUGAGUUGGGCACUCUAGAGAGACCGCCGGUGAUAAACCGGAGGAAGGUGUGGAUGACGUCAAGUCAUCAUGCCCCUUACAUCCUGGGCUACACACGUACUACAAUGCUACGGACAAAGGGUUGCAAACUCGCGAGAGCUAGCUAAUCCCAUAAACCGUGGCUCAGUUCAGAUCGUAGGCUGCAACUCGCCUACGUGAAGGAGGAAUCGCUAGUAAUCGCAGGUCAGCAUACUGCGGUGAAUACGUUCCCGGGCCUUGUACACACCGCCCGUCACACCAUGGAAGUUGGCCACGCCCGAAGUCGUUACUCCAACCCGUAAGGG